CCUACGGGCGGCAGCAGUGGGGAAUAUUGCACAAUGGGGGGAACCCUGAUGCAGCCACGCCGCGUGUGUGAAGAAGUACUUCGGUAUGUAAAGCCCUGUCAGCAGGGAAGAAAAUGACGGUACCUGUACCAUAAGCCCCGGCUAACUACGUGCCAGCAGCCGCGGUAAUACGUAGGGGGCAAGCGUUAGCCGGAUUUACUGGGGGUAAAGGGAGCGUAGACGGCAAGGCAAGUCUGGAGUGAAAGCCCGUGGCUCAACCACGGGACUGCUUUGGAGACUGUGUUGCUGGAGUGCAGGAGGGGGAAGCGGAAUUCCUAGUGUAGCGGUGAAAUGCGUAGAGAUUAGGAGGAACACCGGUGGCGAAGGCGGCUUACUGGACUGUAACUGACGUUGAGGCGCGAAGGCGUGGGGAGCAAACAGGAUUAGAUACCCGAGUAGUC
rnacentral:rRNA from 1 species